AAUGAAUGUUGGCGGCAUGGAUUAGGCAUGCAAGUCGAGCGGGCGUAGCAAUACGUCAGCGGCGUAAGGGACAGGAACACGUAGACUACCUGCCCUCGGGUCUGGAAUAGCCACGGGAAACUGUGGGUAAUGCCAGAUAACAUCUCCGGAUCAAAGGUGUGAUUCCGCCCGAGGAUGGGUCUGCGUCCUAUUAGCUAGUUGGUGAGGUAACGGCUCACCAAGGCAAUGAUGGGUAGCAGGUGUGAGAGCACGACCUGCGUCAUUGGGACUGAGACACUGCCCAGACACCUGCGGGUGGCUGCAGUCGAGAAUUUUUGGCAAUGGGCGAAAGCCUGACCAAGCGAUGCCGCGUGCGGGAUGAAGGCCUUCGGGUUGUAAACCGCUGUCAGUGGGGAGGAAGGCUCCGUGAAGAGCGGGGUUUGACCUAUCCGCAGAGGAAGUGUGGGCUAAGUUCGUGCCAGCCGCCGCAGUAAGAC
rnacentral:rRNA from 1 species